CCUGGGUCUGGGCAGGUCGGCACCCUAGGAAAGGGGGCGGAGUGGGGCAAUGGAAAGGAAUUUCUUGGGAAUUUCACGACUCCACCGCCGCCCCCCCCGGCCCCGCCCCACCCCACCCCACCCUACAAGGCGCGACCCGGCUGAUCCCUGCCCUGCAGGAACCCGGUUUCUCGCCAGCGAACUGCUCUCAGAGGCUACCGAGCGUUCCCGCCUCGCCGCAGGAACUCUUCUAGCUCGCCCUCGGGCUCUGGGGACCGCUCCACAGCGGGGCCUCCCGGAAUUCCCUGCCGGUCUCCGCGGGCACACUUGGCUGGCUGCUGCGACCAAAACUACCUUCGCGUGGCAGGGUCCUCCCUCCUCCUCACAGACACCCCGACAUCACCCUCAAAACUGGAAGGGACAACCCCGAGUGAUCUAGGCGAUGGUGGAUACCUGAAAGCCACCCAUGGAAAAGGUGAAGAAAGUGCCCCCUGGUUCUCAGAAGAGCCACUGCUGCUGUUGUGAGCAGAUAUCGGAUGGUGUCUCUGGCUGCAUCAUUCGUCAACCACACAUAUUCAUAUGAGUGUUACCCUCCAGCACUGUGCCUUCCAAAAGCCCCUGGCUGAGGAAGCACUGCUUCUGAGCCACAGAGACAGCUGAUUUAUGGACCAUUUUAUCACCGCUUCUAAACUGUGGCUCUAAACCUAACACAGAGGGUAAUGGUAGUGCUGUAUCCAUUCAUUCACCCAAUAAAUAUUUGCU
rnacentral:lncRNA from 10 species